GGGACCGAUGAUGACGGCUGGUGGCGUAGGAGUCACGGAUGAUGAAUGCUACGUGUCUGAAACUCUGAGGUCCAA